GACGAAGGGGGCUAGCGUUGUUCGGAAUUACUGGGCGUAAAGCGCGUGUAGGCGGUUGUUCAAGUCAGGUGUGAAAGCCUUGAGCUCAACUCAAGAAAUGCACUUGAUACUGGAUGACUAGAGGACCGGAGAGGAUAGUGGAAUUCCCAGUGUAGUGGUGAAAUACGUAGAGAUUGGGAAGAACACCAGUGGCGAAGGCGGCUAUCUGGACGGUUCUGACGCUAAGACGCGAAAGCGUGGGAGCAAACAGG
rnacentral:rRNA from 1 species